rnacentral:snRNA from 1 species
GUGUUCACUUUGGCGGCACAUAUAUUAAAAUUGGGACAAUACAGAAAAGAUAAACAUGGCUCCUGCACAAGUAUGA